rnacentral:lncRNA from 1 species
ACAGCAUCUGAGAUGCCUUGCAGCUACAUUAUCGAGCAUGCAAAUGAUUCCCACUAGAGAGGAGAAGGGAAAACAAAACAAAAAAACAAAGCCAUCACAGGUCCAUUUAAUGUUCCUGUGGAAGAACAAUGCCUUCCCAAGAAGAUGUCCCUGGAUUCUGUCACUGUGUUGGAAUAUAUGAUAGAAGAAGUUUAAGUUUGUAUGGAAAUGACGACUCGGAUAAAAUAGCUCCAUGUUGCUUCUCUCCUUUCUGUGACAAAACAUCCAACAAAAGCAACUUCAGGGAGAACAUGUUUAUUUUGCGUCAUCGUUUGAGGAUACAGGCUAUCAUGACAGAGAAACCAUGGUACCAGGAGCUUGACGCCCCUGGCUACAAUGCAUCUAGAGUCAGAAAACAAGAGAGAAGAAUGUUGGUAUUCAGCUAGAUUUCUUCUUUAUACCAUUGUGUGUUCUGCUCAUAGUCAGGGUGGGUCUUCCUACCUCCCUGUUGUCCUGUAAAUGCCCCUAUAAACAUACUCAGAAGC